AAGUGUGUCUAUACUAAAAUACUGAAACUAGAACAAUACAGAGAUUAGUGUGGCCCCUGUGCAAGAAUGACUUACAAAUUCAUAAAGAAUUUUGUAGUGUGU